rnacentral:rRNA from 1 species
GACGAACGCUGGCGGCGUGCCUAAUACAUGCAAGUAGAACGCUGAAGGAGGAGCUUGCUUCUCUGGAUGAGUUGCGAACGGGUGAGUAACGCGUAGGUAACCUGCCUGGUAGCGGGGGAUAACUAUUGGAAACGAUAGCUAAUACCGCAUAAGAGUAGAUGUUGCAUGACAUUUGCUUAAAAGGUGCAAUUGCAUCACUACCAGAUGGACCUGCGUUGUAUUAGCUAGUUGGCGGGGUAACGGCUCACCAAGGCGACGAUACAUAGCCGACCUGAGAGGGGGAUCGGCCACACUGGGACUGAGACACGGCCCAGACUCCUACGGGAGGCAGCAGUAGGGAAUCUUCGGCAAUGGACGGAAGUCUGACCGAGCAACGCCGCGUGAGUGAAGAAGGUUUUCGGAUCGUAAAGCUCUGUUGUAAGAGAAGAACGAGUGUGAGAGUGGAAAGUUCACACUGUGACGGUAUCUUACCAGAAAGGGACGGCUAACUACGUG